rnacentral:rRNA from 1 species
UGUUGUGGUUAAAGCUCGUAGUUGAACCUUGGGCCUGGCUGGCCGGUCCGCCUCACCGCGUGCACUGGUCCGGCCGGGCCUUUCCCUCUGUGGAACCCCAUACCCUUCACUGGGCGUGGCGGGGAAACAGGACAUAUACUUUGAAAAAAUUAGAGUGCUCCAGGCAGGCCUAUGCUCGAAUACAUUAGCAUGGAAUAAUAAAAUAGGACGCGCGGUUCUAUUUUGUUGGUUUAUAGGACCGCCGUAAUGAUUAAUAGGGACAGUCGGGGGCAUCAGUAUUCAACUGUCAGAGGUGAAAUUCUUGGAUCAGUUGAAGACUAACUACUGCGAAAGCAUUUGCCAAGGAUGUUUUCAUUAAUCAGGAACGAAAGUUAGGGGAUCGAAGACGAUCAGAUACCGUCGUAGUCUUAACCAUAAACUAUGCCGACUAGGGAUCGGACGGUGUUAUUCAUGACCCGUUCGGCACCUUACGAGAAAUCAAAGUGCUUGGGCUCCAGGGGGAGUAUGGUCGCAAGGCUGAAACUUAAAGAAAUUGACGGAAGGGCACCACCAGGGGUGGAGCCUGCGGCUUAAUUUGACUCAACACGGGGAAACUCACCAGGUCCAGACACAAUAAGGAUUGACAGAUUGAGAGCUCUUUCUUGAUUUUGUGGGUGGUGGUGCAUGGCCGUUCUUAGUUGGUGGGGUGACUUGUCUGCUUAAUUGCGAUAACGAACGAGACCUUAACCUGCUAAAUAGCCCGCAUUGCUCCGGCAGUGCGCUGGCUUCUUAGAGGGACUUUCGGCUCAAGCCGA